UAGGGAAUCUUCCGCAAUGGGCGAAAGCCUGACGGAGCAACGCCGCGUGAGUGAUGAAGGUCUUCGGAUCGUAAAACUCUGUUAUUAGGGAAGAACAAAUGUGUAAGUAACUAUGCACGUCUUGACGGUACCUAAUCAGAAAGCCACGGCUAACUACGUGCCAGCAGCCGCGGUAAUACGUAGGUGGCAAGCGUUAUCCGGAAUUAUUGGGCGUAAAGCGCGCGUAGGCGGUUUUUUAAGUCUGAUGUGAAAGCCCACGGCUCAACCGUGGAGGGUAAUUAGAAACUGGAAAACUUGAGUGCAGAAGAGGAAAGUGGAAUUCCAUGUGUAGCGGUGAAAUGCGCAGAGAUAUGGAGGAACACCAGUGGCGAAGGUGACUUUCUGGUCUGUAACUGACGCUGAUGUGCGAAAGCGUGGGGAUCAAACAGG
rnacentral:rRNA from 1 species